ACGUAGGUGGCUAGCGUUGUUCGGAUUUAUUGGGCGUAAAGGGUCUGUAGGUGGCUGGCUAAGUCUGAUGUGAAAUCCCGAGGCUCAACCUCGGAAUUGCAUUGGAGACUGGCCGGCUAGAGCGUCGGAGAGGUGAGCGGAAUUCCUGGUGUAGCGGUGGAAUGCGUAGAUAUCAGGAAGAACACCGAGAGCGAAGGCAGCUCACUGGACGAUGUCUGACCCUGAGGGACGAAAGCGUGGGGAGCAAACAG
rnacentral:rRNA from 1 species